GACGAACGCUGGCGGCGUGCUUAACACAUGCAAGUCGUACGGUAAGGCCCUUUCGGGGGUACACGAGUGGCGAACGGGUGAGUAACACGUGAGUAACCUGCCCACAACUUUGGGAUAACGCUAGGAAACUGGUGCUAAUACUGGAUAUGUGCUCCUGCUGCAUGGUGGGGGUUGGAAAGCUCCGGCGGUUGUGGAUGGACUCGCGGCCUAUCAGCUUGUUGGUGGGGUAGUGGCCUACCAAGGCGGCGACGGGUAGCCGGCCUGAGAGGGUGACCGGCCACAGUGGGACUGAGAUACGGCCCAGACUCCUACGGGAGGCAGCAGUGGGGAAUAUUGCACAAUGGGCGCAAGCCUGAUGCAGCAACGCCGCGUGCGGGAUGACGGCCUUCGGGUUGUAAACCGCUUUCAGCAGGGACGAAGCUUUUUGUGACGGUACCUGCAGAAGAAGCACCGGCUAAAUACGUG
rnacentral:rRNA from 1 species